rnacentral:rRNA from 1 species
GAUGAACGCUGGCGGCGUGCCUAAUACAUGCAAGUCGAGCGAACGGACGAGAAGCUUGCUUCUCUGAUGUUAGCGGCGGACGGGUGAGUAACACGUGGAUAACCUCCCUAUAAGACUGGGAUAACUUCGGGAAACCGGAGCUAAUACCGGAUAAUAUUUUGAACCGCAUGGUUCAAAAGUGAAAGACGGUCUUGCUGUCACUUAUAGAUGGAUCCGCGCUGCAUUAGCUAGUUGGUAAGGUAACGGCUUACCAAGGCAACGAUGCAUAGCCGACCUGAGAGGGUGAUCGGCCACACUGGAGCUGAGACACGGUCCAGACUACUACGGGAGGCAGCAGUAGGGAAUGUUCCGCAAUGGGCGAAAGCCUGACGGAGCAACGCCGCGUGAGUGAUGAAGGUCUUCGGAUCGUAAAACUCUGUUAUUAGGGAAGAACAUAUGUGUAAGUAACUGUGCACAUCUUGACGGUACCUAAUCAGAAAGCCACGGCUAACUACGUG